rnacentral:lncRNA from 1 species
UCUGGGUACUGUAGUUUUGGGAGGGAGCGUCACAGGGAUGAUUCUGGGCAAUGGGCGGUAGCGGCUAAGGCUUCUGGUUAUGGUAGUUCUGUGAUUGGGGCAUGCAGAAUCUUCUGGGUAAUGUAGUCUGUGAGGUCCCUCCCAGGGUUCUGGGUAAUGUAGUUCUGAUUGGGAUACGCAGAGUCUUUUGGGUACUGUAGUCCUCGGUGUGGACUGUCAGGCCAAGAAUUCUGGGUACUGUAGUUGGGGGUGCACACCGGGGCUUUUCGGCUGGGUUAUGACGUGCAAGAUUCUGUAUACGUGCUGCCGAAGCAAGCACAUCGUGGAAGAUUCUGUGACCUCUGGUGAGCAAGGCUGUGGAGUCAGCAGGUGUUGUUACCAACCUCCUUCUGUCAGUUGCCCUGGUGAGCUAGACUAAAAAAAAGGCUGAGAAGACCAGGCUGGCCGAGCGUUGCUGACCGGCCCCAGGGCGCCCACACCUGAGAGGUGUCUGGACAGAGCUUCUUCAGCUCGCGUGACCCUCCCUGCUGGGCCCAAUCCUGGCGUUUCUGGGCUACGCCCCGCCUUCUCCGGAACCCAGGCCUACCCCCUGCUGUGAGAAGCCUCCAUCCUUGGCCUCGGCCCUCCUCCAGGACUCAGUCUCCUGCCAAGCCUGCCCUAGGCGUCCCUCAGGCUGAACAGCAGGAGAGUGAGGUGCAGCAGGUUGGUGUUAGAGAAGAUGAUGAUGAGGAGCCUGAUGAGGAUGAUGAUGACAUUGUAUUUACAAAAGAUGCGGAAGAGAUGAGUGAGGAAGAUGAGCAGGAAAUUGAUGCAGUUGAGCGCCUGAGAAGUGAAGUGGGAGAAAUAUUUGAAACAGAUCUGAAUAAUUUACAAAUGAUACACGUUAUGACUUUUCCUUCAUUUUUCAUAAUUCAAAAUGCAACAUUUGAGCAUGAAACCAAGGCAAACUGGCUAAUGCCUUAUUUCAAGAUUACAUUUCAAAAGAAGCGCAUAUUUUAGGGCUCUGUUUCCUUUGUCAGUACCACUUAAUAAUGAAAACCAUUCCAUAAAUCAAGAGCAACUGUGAGCCCUCACAGGGUCAGAGGAGGGUUAGCUGCCAGCACUUAGCCACUUGGUGGCUGAAAAAGACCAGUUACACUGAAGUGGUCACCAGAAGUGUCUAUGUGCUGUGCAUGAAUGACUUUUUUCCCACCAGAUAUAUUAGGUUCUAUGAUUUUUCUCAUUAGUAAGAAUUUGAGAAGUUUUUGAUACCAAUAAUUUCUGUACAUGGAGCUCAGAAAAUCCACAUGGUACAGUAUACAUUGAGUAUGAAACUGGUGGACAAUUGCGCGAGUUUGAUUGAGACAUGUGAUGCAGUGUCAGCAAACCUUGCCCAGAAAAUGCUUGCCUUUACCUACAAGUAUACAAGCUCAUUUGGCUACUGGGACUCUGUAAAGGUAAUUUCAUCAAAUGUAUCUGAAAACCAUACUCUUUGAAUAUUGCUUUAAUAAAAUACAGGUACUUCUAGGAAGAAGACUAAAUAAUUCAAAAAAUUUUAAGAAUUGUAUAGUAAUCUUUUCCCCCCCAUUAACUUUAUUGGUACAUUUUAGGUAUACAAUACAGUUACAUUCAUCAUUGAGAUCUUGUACCAUUACAUGAGUCUCUUGGUUCUUAUUUUUUUUCCCCUUCCCUUGCCCUCCCUUCACCCCCUCCACCCUUCCCUAUUUGCAAAGACCUUGUUUCCAUUUUUUUUCC